rnacentral:lncRNA from 1 species
AUGGAAAGAAUUUGUUUCACUACAAUUGCUGAGUUACAUACCUCCAAGGGAAGGCUGGUGAUAAACGGCAGGGUUGUGACAAUGGGAUAUUGGAGAAAGGUAUUUUUAGGAGACAUUACUGAGAAGCAUAGCAGGUGGCCAGAUGGUAAUGACAGGAAACACAGUCCCUUCUGUCUGCAAGAACAACUGAGCGGCAUUCAGGUGUGUAAUAAGAUAAACUACGUUUCUAGAGAUACCCUACUAGGUCCAGGUGGAAGAGGGCACACGAUGGAAACUUGCCAGAGUGUAAAGUCUGGGAAAAUAGCAAAAACAGUCCUGUUCCCUAGGUAG